rnacentral:rRNA from 1 species
GACGAACGCUGGCGGCGUGCUUAACACAUGCAAGUCGAACGGAAAGGCCCUGCUUUUGUGGGGUUCUCGAUUGGCGAACGGGUGAGUAACACGUGAGUAACCUGCCCUUGACUUUGGGAUAACUCCAGGAAACUGGGGCUAAUACCCGAUAGGAGCUCCUGCUGCAUGGUGGUGGUUGGAAAGUUUCGGCGGUUGGGGCUGUACUCGCGGCUUCUCAGCCUGUUGGGGUGGUAGUGGCUUACCAAGGCUUCGACGGGUAGCCGGCCUGAGAGGGUGACCGGCCACAUUGGGACUGAGAUACGGCCCAGAAUGCUACGGGAGGCAGCAGGGGGGAAUAUUGCACAAUGGGCGGGAGCCAGAUGCAGAGACGCCGCGUGCGGGAUGACGGGUUUCGGGUUGUAAACCGCUUUCGAAUGUGACGAAGAGGGAGUGACGGUAAUGGGUAAAGAAGCACCGGCUAACUACGUG